GUUGGUGAACCAGCGGAGGGAUCAUUACCGAGUUUACAACUCCCAAACCCCUGUGAACAUACCUUUAAUGUUGCCUCGGCGGAUCAGCCCGCGCCCCGUAAAACGGGACGGCCCGCCAGAGGACCCAAACUCUAAUGUUUCUUAUUGUAACUUCUGAGUAAAACAAACAAAUAAAUCAAAACUUUCAACAACGGAUCUCUUGGUUCUGGCGUCGAUGAAGAACGCAGCAUCUGACUGACUCGAGCAGCAC
rnacentral:misc_RNA from 1 species